GGACGAACGCUGGCGGCGUGCUUAACACAUGCAAGUCGAGCGGUAAGGCCCUUCGGGGUACACGAGCGGCGAACGGGUGAGUAACACGUGGGUGAUCUACCCUGUACUUCGGGAUAAGCCUGGGAAACUGGGUCUAAUACCGGAUAUGACCUCUGGGUGCAUGCCUGGGGGUGGAAAGAUUUAUCGGUACAGGAUGGGCCCGCGGCCUAUCAGCUUGUUGGUGGGGUAAUGGCCUACCAAGGCGACGACGGGUAGCCGGCCUGAGAGGGCGACCGGCCACACUGGGACUGAGACACGGCCCAGACUCCUACGGGAGGCAGCAGUGGGGAAUAUUGCACAAUGGGCGGAAGCCUGAUGCAGCGACGCCGCGUGAGGGAUGACGGCCUUCGGGUUGUAAACCUCUUUCGACAGGGACGAAGCGCAAGUGACGGUACCUGUAGAAGAAGCACCGGCCAACUAC
rnacentral:rRNA from 1 species